rnacentral:tRNA from 1 species
UGGCAUGUAGCUCAGCAGGCAGAGCAGGCGGCUGUUAACCGCCUGGUCAGAGGUUCGAACCCUCCCGUGCCAGCCA